UGCAAGUAGAACGCUGAAGAGAGGAGCUUGCUCUUCUUGGAUGAGUUGCGAACGGGUGAGUAACGCGUAGGUAACCUGCCUUGUAGCGGGGGAUAACUAUUGGAAACGAUAGCUAAUACCGCAUAACAAUGGAUGACACAUGUCAUUUAUUUGAAAGGGGCAAUUGCUCCACUACAAGAUGGACCUGCGUUGUAUUAGCUAGUAGGUGAGGUAAUGGCUCACCUAGGCGACGAUACAUAGCCGACCUGAGAGGGUGAUCGGCCACACUGGGACUGAGACACGGCCCAGACUCCUACGGGAGGCAGCAGUAGGGAAUCUUCGGCAAUGGGGGCAACCCUGACCGAGCAACGCCGCGUGAGUGAAGAAGGUUUUCGGAUCGUAAAGCUCUGUUGUAAGUCAAGAACGGGUGUGA
rnacentral:rRNA from 1 species